CUGAGAAGAAGCAGUUGACCCUUUAACAUUUUUACAAUGAAUUAAUCAAAAUUGUCCCAUCUCAAGGCAAGCUCAUUCCACUUACCCCUCUGUCGAUUCGUUUCCAGUCAGUCCAUGGCUGGGGAUUAUGAUGGUGUUACUGCUAUGGUGCUGCUAUUUUGGGAUUGGGAUUUUGGCUGUCUGUUGGAGGCAGGAGAGGCUUUAAGCAGCAAGAGUUCAGUCUUCACCAGCUCAGCCGGUGGUGAUAUAUUAAUGUUUACGAUGACCGUUGGACAUGUAAUUGGGGUUCUGGCCUGCCCUUUGGAUUAAGCUUUGAUUACCUGUCAAACCAGGACGCUUGACAAGUUCUCAGCUGGUGUCAGUGAAAUGCUCGGCACAUUCCCACCCCAACAUUGACCCUGUGAAUUUACAUGUGAAGUAGCUAUGGACAAAAGAUAAGGCCCUGUACUUUUUUUCCACUGUUUUCUUAGAAGAAAUAUAUUAAUAUAUUAUGAAACAUUGACUUCACUUUUUACCGAGUUCUUUCCGACCACAAGAUUUGCCUCAGUUCUCUGUUUUUGGUUUCUUCUUAUCCAGCUUCUUUUUUCUUUUUCAUUUCUUCAUUUUUAUUUUUAUUUUUUUUCGUUUUAACUAUCACUCUUCCUUACUCCUCUCUCAUUUCCUCUCCCAAACAGAAAGGGAAUUUAAAUUGCAACUGGUCGCAGAUGUAAAACCGGCAAGAGCGUGCUCCAAAGACACUCUCUUUUAUUGGGUUCAUCCAGAGGUCAAAGAGGUUGGCUGCGGGACAAGACAGAGCAAAAACCUACCCAAGCCCUACUGUGUCAUCAUCAUCCUACUUGGCUGCCAGCAGGAUGUGACAGGAGAGGUGGAGGAAUGCUGCUCCGUCGCUGUGCAUGCAGAGAGUUGGGAUAAUGAAGAUACAUUGCCAAGCCUUGGCAUGGGCCACCACACUUUUGGGGUGGCCCAGGAGAGAGGCGGGCAGCUUUGGACAGGAAUGGGCCAACUUCAAAAAGAUCUGCAGUUUGCGUUCCUUCCAUAUAAACAUCUCGGGGUUUAG
rnacentral:lncRNA from 1 species